GAACCCUCGGUGAUCCUCCUGCGGACUUCCGGCAAACUCCUGGACUUGCGACGAUCCACUUGGCAAGUUCCGACGAGCUCCUUUGGCAAACUUCUGGACUUCUCGGAUUUGUUCCCGCAGAACCUCCGACGACUGUCCGAACUUCCGUCGAGCUCUCGAACUCCCAACGUGAUCAUUGUCAUGACUCCGGCGCAACUCCUGCUGCAGGUCUUACUUUCAUCGUAGUUAAUCCUGCACAUUUAUCUCAACACACAGAUUAGACAAACAAAUGACAAUUGACUUCAUCAUCAAAAUCCGAGAUUCAACAAUCUUCCCCUUUUUGAUGAUGACAAUCAAUUGAUAAUAGAGUUAACCUUAACUCCUCCUGUCUAUAUGCCAUACUUCUUAAAUUUAAAAACUUUAUAAAUUCAAGAGACAUAUUCCCAUCAUGAUUCCUAUCAUGAUGUAUCUCUUUGAAGAUGAUGUCAAGGCUUGACAUUCAUUUUCAAAUAUAACAAGUUUGAAUGAUGGUUAUUGUAGCAAUUCAUCAUAUUUGUAAGAUAUCGACAUGUAAGGCUGUGAAGCAAGAUUUCGAUAUCAUUACAUGAUGUACACAUUUCGAAUAUUUUAGCAAGUGUAGCAUUGCAUCAGAUGGUAAGAUAUCAGCUCGUACAAUGCAAAUUUUUGUUUGAUAUCUUAAUACAGGGCAUAUAGCAAUGAUAGCAAUCAUAUAUUUCUUGGUGAUGCAAGUAUGGCCUAAUCAUAGCAAUGAUAGCAAUCAUAUAUUUCUUGGUGAUGCAAGUAUGGCCUAAUUAUAGCAUCAGUGAUAGCAACCAUAUCAACAUUAGUGAUAGCAAACAUAUCAAUUCAUAUAUUUCUCCCCCUUUGUCAUUAACAAAAAGCAUGGUAGAUGUGAUUCCAAGAGAACAAUAUAAGCAGGUUAUCAAGCACAUAAAGGAAGGCAUGACACGUAUAAUGCUUUGAAUACCUCUUCUCCUUGUAUGUUGUAAUUCUUUGUGCAUGAAGGAGGAAAGUCAUUUUUCCAAAAAAAAAUUUACAUAAGAGUGUACAGGAAAAUCCAAUUUUUAGCAUUCAAAUUGUUAAGCAAAUCCGAAAAUGAAAUGAACUCUUCCAUGCAUUCGGACAUAAGUCAGUUAUUUGAUCAAGUGAUACCAAGGCAUGUAAUAGUAAUCAAGUGAUUUGAUCAUUCAAUAAAGUCCGAAAAAUAAUUUUAACUGGUUUAAGUAUUCGGACACAUCAACAUUCCUAAUUCUCUUCUUAUGAAAUCAAAUUGUUCUUCACUUAGAGGUUUUGUAAAGAUAUCAUCUAGUUGAUGUUUCGUAUCAAUGUCAUAUUACUGACUUAUCAACUACAUUGGUAUGUCACUUUAUAUUUAUCAAGGCACAAGGUUUUCAAAACAUUUAGUUUCAAUGUAAAAUCCGAGAUAAACAACAAGAGAUGUUUGUAACUUUGCAUAUGCUCACAGAUCAAGGUAAAUAAAGAGUAACAUACGGAGUUUACAACAUGUCAUAUUAAAGAUAAAGUCCAUCAUGAGGAGUUUAUAACAACAACGGAUGAUUGUGUUCAUACAAGCUCAUUCAUGAGGUGGAAAGUUAAAGUGCCUAAAUAAAGAGUCAAAUUGUCGAUGAAUUUGCUGCAGCUCAGUUAGGAUUUGAUCUUGUCGAUGUUCAAGCCGUUCUUGUCUUUGUUCGAAUCGGUCCAUCCGAAUCCCAAUAUCUUCGACAGAUGAUGUGUGAGUUUGCUCAAAUGGAUGUGUUUCCUCAAAGGGACAGAUCGGAGAAGAUUGGGUACCCCUAAAGACUGGUGUUUCCGGUUCUGGUUCAGGUUAAGGGGGAUCAGUUCUUCUUGGCAUUCUAACCCAGUUAUCGUUUCUAUAAAAACAUCUUAAUCGGUGAAGUAGAUUUUUAUUAAUUAUGUUGAAUCUAUCUACUUUUAUUACUUCUUCUUCCGGUGGUAUUAGAAUAUCGUAGGCUUUCAUUAUUCUAGUUAUUAUACCACCAUAUGGGAGCAUCAUGUNNNNNNNNNNNNNNNNNNNNAAUGGACAAUAAUGCGUCUUAUGUCCAAAUUUACAACAAAAGUUACAUUUGGUUUGGUGUUGAACAUGUAAGAUGGGGCCUUUUAUGAAGGUGAUUGGAUUUAGGUGAGGACUUCUCACAAAUCCAAUUCCACUCUUUUUUGGAACGUGACCCUUGUUUGCAAGGAUCAUGUUCAAUGACUUGCUACCAACCUCGAAUUUCUUCAAGGUGUCCUUAAGUAGCAGAUCAUGGCAUUUGAUACAUGAAUUUAAACUAUCAUGAUAUUCAGUUUUUAACUUAUCAAAAUCACAAGUAAGACUAUCAUGCUCCUUUUUUAGCAAUUUGUAUUUUCUAUUGAUAAUCUUGCAUUCAUCAAAUAAGUCAUGGAAGGCAUUUAAUAAUUCAUCGAAAGAUAAAUCAGCAUCUAAUAAAUUUGUUACCUCUUCUCCGAUGGCCAUUAAGGCGUAAUGAGCAACUUGCUCGGUGUUGGACUCCUCUUCUUCAGAUGUGCUUGAAUCAUCCCAUGUUGCUUUGAGCGCCUUCUUCUUUGUUGUUCUCUUUUUGGCUUGGGGACAAUCACUCUUGUAGUGUUCCAGCUUUUUGCACUCAUAGCAAAUAACUUGGUCCUUCUUGGGUUCAAGUUUAUUUUUAGUGUCAUUCUUAAACUUGCUUCUUUUAAUAAUUUUUUUAAAUUUUCUUGUUAGAAGUGUCAAGUCAUCGUCACAGUCCUCAUCACUUGAGUUUUCUUUCAAGUGGUCUUCCAAAGUGCUAAGUGCCAUAUCCUUCCUGUUCUUUGGAAGGAUGUCUUCUUGCUCUUCAUGAGCUUUGCAAGUCAUCUCGUAGGUCAUUAAUGACCCAAUUAGUUCUUCAAGAGGGAAGUUGUUUAGAUCUUUUGCCUCUUGAAUAGCAGUGACUUUAGGAUCCCAAUUCUUAGGAAGGGAUCUUAGAAUCUUAUUUACGAGCUCAAAAUCCGAAAAACUUUUUCCGAGUCCUUUUAGACCGUUGACGACAUCCGUGAAACGGGUAAACAUGUCGCCAAUAGUCUCACUCGGUUUCAUCCGGAAAAGUUUGAAAGAGUGUAACAAAAGAUUGAUUUUUGACUCUUUCACUCUACUUGUGCCUUCAUGAGUCACUUCGAGUGUGUGCCAAAUAUCAAAUGCAGUUUCACAAAUCGAAACACGAUUAAACUCGUUUUUAUCAAGUGCACAAAAUAAGGCAUUCAUAGCCUUUGCAUUAAGAGCGAAAGCCUUCUUCUCCAAAUCAUUCCAAUCGAUCAUUGGAAGAGAAGACUUCGAAAAACCAUUUUCGACAAGAUUCUAAAGUUCAACAUCCAUAGAGAUAAGAAAGAUCCUCAUUCGGGUCUUCCAAUAGGUGUAGUCCGUCCCAUUAAACAUGGGUGGACGUGUAAUAGAAUGGCCCUCUUGGUUUCCGGCGUAAGCCAUCUCUCUUGGGUUUUAAUCCGUUUGAGAGUUAACCGAGCUCUGAUACCAAUUGUUAGGAUCGAGAGCACUAAGAGGGGGGGGGUGAAUUAGUGCAGCGGAAAACUUUCUGCGAUUAAAAUCAACUUCUGCGUUCGAACGAUAAAAACAACUUCUGUAUGAAAGUUGAUACUAAGUAAGAUUAAAGUCAAUCUAUGCAGGCAGUUUGCAACUAUGAUGAAAACUAGAAUAUCGGCACAAACUGAAAUCCGACGUUCGUACGAAGAAACUGAUUUACGUCUAAAAGCUUAUUCGUAAAUCACUUNNNNNNNNNNNNNNNNNNNNUGAAUUAGUGCAGCGGAAAACUUUCUGCGAUUAAAAUCAACUUCUGCGUUCGAACGAUAAAAACAACUUCUGUAUGAAAGUUGAUACUAAGUAAGAUUAAAGUCAAUCUAUGCAGGCAGUUUGCAACUAUGAUGAAAACUAGAAUAUCGGCACAAACUGAAAUCCGACGUUCGUACGAAGAAACUGAUUUACGUCUAAAAGCUUAUUCGUAAAUCACUUGAUUAGAUAAGACGCAGUUUAAGCAGGAGUAUAAAGGCAGUGUGCAGUUAUGGUAAAGCUCAAAACGUAAACGCAAUCUGCAAUAUGAUGAUCAUACGAAAAAACAGAUUUACGUCUAAACACAGAUUUACGUCUAAACGCAGAUUUACGUCUAAACCUUGAAACUCGUUCGUAAAAUCGCAGAGGGCAGUAAGCUAUUGAGAAGUUUGCAGUGAAGGUAAAAUGCUCAAAGGAAAUGCAAACCGAGAUUUAGAGUGGUUCGGUCAAUCUUGACCUACUCCACUUUUGGCUUACUCUACCGACGAGGUCACCGACGUCAACUAGAGGCCUUCCUUCAAUAGGCGAAGGCCAACCACCCUCUUACAGAUUAACUCCUUUUGACGGGCUUAGGAGACAACCCUUACAGAAGUUUUCUCUCCUCUCUUUACAACUCAAACUUUGAAGAACAGAAAGAGGAGAACUAACAGUUUUGAGCUCUAAGAACCACAGAAAGAUAGCAAGAUUUCGAGUGUGUGUUCUGUGCUUUCAGUGCUGAAUGGGUGGGGUAUUUAUAGGCCCCAACCCAGUUCAAAUUUGGAGCUCAAAUCUGUUAAUUCCCGGAAUUCCGGGAUCAGGCGGUUGCACCUCCUGACUAGGGCGGUUGCACCGCCUGGCAGAGCUCGAAGACUGAGCCUCUGGGCGGUGCCACCUCUGUCAGGGGCGGUUGCACCUCUCUGCCAGAGCUCGAAGACCGAGCUCAGGCGGUUGCACUGCCUGACUGGGGAGGUUGCACCGCCUGGCAGAGCUCGAAACUUGAGCUCUGGCGGUGCUACCUCUUGACAGAAGAGGUUGCACCGCCCAGUCUUGCUCGGAGACUGAGCCCGGGGCGGUGCCACCUCUUGGUUGGGACGGUUGCACCGCCCAGUCUCGCUGGGAGACAUAGCCUGGGCGGUGCUACCUCCUGGCUUGGGCGGUUGCACCUCCUACAGCAAUCAGGGUCCGAAUGGGUUAAUUCAUUCGGCCCAAUUUGAUUCUUUCAGGGGCCCAAUUGCCCCAAGAUUAAGCUAAUGGGAUCACCUCCCAUUUCUAACUUAAUCAAUGUGCUAACUACGAUUAUUUCCUAAGACAUAUUCUGCAGCUUGCUCCGGUGCGUCAAUUGCUUCUUCCGGCGAGUUUCCGACGAACUUCCGUCGAUUAUCGGACGAACCCUCGGUGAUCCUCCUGCGGACUUUCGGCAAACUCCUGGACUUGCGACGAUCCACUUGGCAAGUUCCGACGAGCUCCUUUGGCAAGCUUUUGGACUUCUCGGAUUUGUUCCCGCAGAACCUCCGACGACUGUCCGAACUUCCGUCGAGCUCUCGAACUCCCAACGUGAUCAUUGUCAUGACUCCGGCGCAACUCCUGCUGCAUGUCUUACUUU
rnacentral:lncRNA from 1 species